rnacentral:rRNA from 1 species
GAUGAACGCUAGCUACAGGCUUAACACAUGCAAGUCGAGGGGAAACGACAUCGAAAGCUUGCUUUUGAUGGGCGUCGACCGGCGCACGGGGGAGUAACGCGUAUCCAACCUGCCCACCACUUGGGAAUAACCUUGCGAAAGUAAGACUAAUACCCAAUGAUAUCCCACGAAGGCAUCCGAAUGGGAUUAAAGAUUUAUCGGUGAUGGAUGGGGAUGCGUCUGAUUAGCUUGUUGGCGGGGUAACGGCCCACCAAGGCGACGAUCAGUAGGGGUUCUGAGAGGAAGGUCCCCCACAUUGGAACUGAGACACGGUCCAAACUCCUACGGGAGGCAGCAGUGAGGAAUAUUGGUCAAUGGGCGAGAGCCUGAACCAGCCAAGUAGCGUGCAGGAUGACGGCCCUAUGGGUUGUAAACUGCUUUUAUAAGGGAAUAAAGUGAGUCUCGUGAGACUUUUUGCAUGUACCUUAUGAAUAAGGACCGGCUAAUUCCGUGCCAGCCGCCGCUGUAA